rnacentral:rRNA from 1 species
GACGGAGGAGGCUAGCGUUGUUCGGAAUUACUGGGCGUAAAGGGCGCGUAGGCGGCCUGCUAAGUCGGAUGUGAAAUCCCUCGGCUCAACCGAGGAACUGCAUCCGAUACUGGCGGGCUUGAAUCCGGGAGAGGGAUGUGGAAUUCCAGGUGUAGCGGUGAAAUGCGUAGAUAUCUGGAGGAACACCGGUGGCGAAGGCGGCAUCCUGGACCGGUAUUGACGCUGAGGCGCGAAAAGCUAGGGGAGCAAACGGGG